UGCGUUUUAUUCACAAAAGAAUCUCAGUGGUGACGAGGAGGCGUACAGGAAUGAAGCUGAUCAGCUGGUUGAGUGGUGUCACAACAACAAUCUGGCCCUCAACAUCAAGGGAUUGACUGUGGACUUAAGGAAGGGGAACACAGACCAGUCCUCAUUGUGGGAUCAGCAAUGGAAAGGUGCGGAUUUCUGGAGCAGUGGACUUCGAGGCGAGCGGUCGCGGGUUCAAAGUCUGGCUGGUUCCUUGCACGCUUUUCAUCCAUGCUGGGUUGAGCAUCGAGCUAGCAACUCAACCUCGGGAAAAAAACAGACAAAUGGUAAGGAAAUAGCAAGGUUGUUGCCCGAUGUGCCACAAGGAGUGGAAAGGAACAACAAAUCUCUCUUCCAACAAAGCAUUUCAGUGUUGUCAGUGAAUUAUUUAUUUAUCACUGACCCAUAUCUUCACUAUUCCAAAUUAAAGUGGGGCAUUUACAGCAAGCCCAGAGCAGGUUAUGUUUCACUACAGUAUAAAAAUGAGCUAACUAAAGCUUUUUAAAAUUCAGAUCAACUUUUAUCUACGUCAACACUGACACGUACAGAAAACUUAGUUUUGUGUAAAUGCUUUCAUUGGGCAACAUUUGGAAGGUCAUGCUGCCAAGUUUGAAGUACAAUAGUUGAAUCUGAAUUUAAUGUGACCAUUUUGCUCAGCAAAUUGAACUUACAACUGUGGAUAGUGGGGAUUAGUAUUACCCUGGAUCCGAAAUGCAAACCACAUUUCCCUUUCUGGUUAGUAAAGGGAUUUGUGCUAAGUGGCACAAGAAGGGAUAGAUGGGUAUGA